rnacentral:rRNA from 1 species
GACGAACGCUGGCGGCGUGCCUAACACAUGCAAGUCGAACGGAGUGGCGAACGGGUGAGUAACGCGUGGGUGACCUGCCUUGCACUUCGGGAUAAGCGUGGGAAACUGGGUCUAAUACCGGAUAUUGCAAGAUGAGCUCGCGGCCUAUCAUCUUGUUGGUGGGGUAAUGGCCUAACAAGGCGUCGAUGGGUGGCCGGCCUGGGAGGGUGUACGGCCACAUUGGGACUCGGGUACGACCCAGAGUCCUACGGGGGGCAGCGGUGGCGAAUAGUGCACAAUUGGCGGAAUCCUUAUGCAGCGACGCCGCGUGGGGAAUGAAGGCCUUCGGGUUGUAAACUCCUUUCGACAGGGACGCGGUACCUGUAUAAGAAGCACCGGCUAACUACGUGCCAGCAGCCGCGGUAAUAC